GAUCCUGGCUCAGGAUGAGCGCUAGCUACAGGCUUAACACAUGCAAGUCGUGGGGCAGCAUGGGAGAUGCUUGCAUUUCCCGAUGGCGACCGGCGCACGGGUGAGUAACGCGUAUCCAACCUGCCCUUCACUCCGGCACAGCCCGUCGAAAGACGGAUUAAUGCGGGAUGCAGUCAGAAAGAUGCAUAUUAAUUGACGAAAGGUCUUCGGGCCGGUGAGGGAUGGGGA
rnacentral:rRNA from 1 species